rnacentral:rRNA from 1 species
GACGAACGCUGGCGGCGUGCCUAAUACAGGCAAGUGGAGCGCUGAAGGUUGGUACUUGUACCAACUGGAUGAGCAGCGAACGGGUGAGUAAAGCGUGGGGAAUCUGCCUGUGAGCGGGGGACAACAUUUGGGAACGAAUGCUAAUACCGCAUAAAAACUUUAAACACAAGUUUUAAGGAUGAAAGGUGCAAUUGCAUCACUCAAAGAGGAUCCCGCGUUGUAUUUGUUAGUGGGUGAGGUAAAGGCGCCCCCAGGCGAGGAUACAUAGCCGACCUGAGAGGGUGAUCGGCCACCUUGGGACUGAGACACGGCCCAAACUCCUACGGGAGGCAGCAGUAGGGAAUCUUCGGACAUGGACGAAAGUCUGACCCAGCACCGCCGCGUGGUUGAAGAAGGUUUUCGGAUCGUAAAACUCUGUUGGUAGGGAAGAACGUUGGUGAGAGUGGAAAGCUCCUCAAGUGACGGUACCUACCCAGAAAGGGCCGGCUAACUACGUG